UACAGAGGGUGCGAGCGUUGUUCGGAAUUACUGGGCGUAAAGCGUGCGCAGGCGGUGAUGUAAGACAGGUGUGAAAUCCCCGGGCUUAACCUGGGAACUGCAUUUGUGACUGCAUCGCUGGAGUGCGGCAGAGGGGGAUGGAAUUCCGCGUGUAGCAGUGAAAUGCGUAGAUAUGCGGAGGAACACCGAUGGCGAAGGCAAUCCCCUGGGCCUGCACUGACGCUCAUGCACGAAAGCGUGGGGAGCAAACAGG
rnacentral:rRNA from 1 species